GAAUGAGCUAGAGUUCACUCUUCCUCUCUCAAACUCUCCAUCGCUCUCAUUCUGUACCAAACCCCUCUCCUUUUUCAGAACAACAACACCUAAACCGUACAGAAGCAUCACGAAAUAACGCCGGUGAUGGAUUUUCAAACAAUGACAAACAAAUAAUGGUAAACAAUCGAACGCAUCAUGCAUAAAGAGAAAGUGAUAACCUGUGAACCCGCGGACGCGACGUCGACUUGAUCGAUUUGGCCUUCCUCUGAACUGCCUUCGCCUCCUUUUCUUCGUAGCGGUGGCUUCAGAUAGGGUUUCGAAUUUGGUCUAUGGAGAUCAAAAGGGGUUUCUGCCAAAAACACUUUUUGUGCUCAGUAUUGGAUUGGUCCCUUUGAUGUUUGAAUUUGGAACAGUAAAAAUAUUGAAGAUUCAAAAGCAGUUUCGAUUUUGAUCACAGCUCUGGUUCACAGUUUCGGUUACGGUGAAUGAAAAUGUUCCGUCGGAGAUCUCCGAAAUUGAGUGCAUUGACGAGGCAUCAUGGUCUGCGCCAAAUCCAAAAGCAUGCACGGGAAUUUGAAAUCCCCAAUUAUCUCGACCACUGAUGGAAAUCGGCAGAAGCAAAUGAUAGUUUGGUUGAGGUUGGUCAUUUCCCGAGCUGCCAACAGUGUAAUUAUCUUGCCCAUCCGACAACAGAAUAAUAUUCGCAACUGGAUUCUUUUCUUUUCGGUCUUCCAUUAUCUUGGCACCUUUUCUCAGCCCUUCCGCAAUAUUGGUACCACCAUUUGCAACCAAAGAAUUAACAGCUUGUAAUGCCUGUUGCCGUCCAGAAUUAGUCAUCUUACAUAGUGGAAGGAGACGGCGAGCCGUGGAAGAGAAAACAAUAACAGAAAUCCCAUAGCCCUUUUUAGUAGUGCGAGCUUAGUUCCAGCCGGGCUACCACUGAUGUCAAGCACAGUGACCAAGUCAAAUAGGGCACGCGGAGUCUGCGAGGUCCGCGUCAAGCUGGUUUGAUUUCUGCUAAGAUUUUGUCUUCUGGUAGAAGCAGCGGCUGCAGCAGUAGCUUUGAGAUGAACCAAAACUGUGAAGUUAGCACAAGUGUCGGACCUUGGAACGGAAGACACUUCAGGAAAUUGCAUUGUUGGUGAUGAUGGAGCUGGAAGCAUUCCAACAGAACUUUGCGGAAGACCGGCAGUCCUUGUUGGAGUCACUCAGAAGCUGAUUGCAGGUUGACUCAAGGAAUAGCAUCUCAAAAACUGUUGUCUGCCGCAACCACACGCUCAUACAUGGCUUCCGGUGCUCUGUUGGAGUUGAGUCUCCUGCAAAUGCAGUUCUUUCUCUCUAGUUGUAACAGGUUUGUCAAGUUUGGAAUUCUGCACAAAAUUGCAUUGGCCGCCGGUUGAUUUUAAUAACAGGUGCUUGGCUUGUAUUUUGAUGAGGCUGAAGCACAAUAGUCAGUUUAAGAAUUUAAUCGUCUUGAAAUGACUCCGGUGGGUCUUAGCAUGACGGUAACCGUACAUAUAUAAUCCUGUACUUCCAAACUCCUUUGCUUUGUCAAUGAGACCAGCUCUUCCAAAGAGAUGGUCCAUACAAGAAUAGUGCUUAAUCCUUGAAUUUAUUUGCGUAGACUUCUAUCAUUUGUCUAAAUAGCAAUUGCCCUUGUGUUACAAGACCGGAAUGAAUACAAGCUGUUUGAGGUAUGUGAAAUGACCGGAUUGCAGAUUGGUUCAGGUUGGAGAGGCUAUUGGUUGAAUUGAAACUGAAUUCUGUUAGAAACUCAGUUGGAAAAAACCGGUUAUCAAUUAUUGAAUAUUGGAUCAAUAUUGAAGGUUGAUUGUAAGGUCAUUAUGAGUGCUUUGGAGAUUAAAAAAAAAUCUGUUAUAGUGAAGAAGUCAUUUUGCUUUUAUUCCUGUUGUGGAAUUUUUUUUAUAUUUCCUUUUAAUUCCAACCAAUUAUUGUAAUGUAUUAGUCAUUAGGAUGUAAUAAGUUGUAAUAGUAUUUAGCUUAUGUAAAAUGAUUCACACAAUGCCAAAUCUCAUGUAAUGCAAUGCAUAUGGACAUGUUUAUGGGAUCAUGCUUGGUUAUUAUUUUUUUGA